rnacentral:rRNA from 1 species
CCCGAUCUUCAUGGUGUAGAAUCAUUGAAUGGAGGGGAUAACUAGCUACAAGAAACCAAAAUAGAAACAAGAGAGUAUGACCCGACGAGGAGGAUGUCAGCCCUAGCUUGCAAUCCGAACAUUCACCGAUCGACAAUAUGCAAAACUACCCCACACAACCAUGCUCGAGACAUGGAGCAUGGGAUAGGUGCAAUCCACAAGGUAAUCACAAACUAUAACCCACAGAACCACACUCAAGUCUUGGAGCACCAGUUAGGAGCAACUCUGCAAGGAAUCACGAGAAUAAGGGUAGCAAGAACUCUCCAAUCUCAGGGUGAGCCUAUGUCUUUGAGCUAA